rnacentral:snoRNA from 1 species
UGGUAACACUUCCAUGCACUACUUCUACAGUUUCUUACCAGAGACGUUUCUCUGAACUUGUGGAGCACCGGAAACCAUGAGGAAGAGGCUCAGCAUUCACUCCUGAGCAUGAAGCCAGCUCUUGGUGGUGCUUUUCGGCAAUUGCCUUUUGCCACUGACGAUCACUCUUCUUUUCCUGACGAUCACUCUUCUUUUCCUUUGGGAGAGUUAAAGGGAAAGGAUGCCAUCUGAAUGAU